rnacentral:lncRNA from 1 species
AAGACGGGAAUAAAUAUUUCUGUUUUCAUCUCGUCACAAUAGCAACACUUCUUACUCCCGUACCAUAUGUGAUUUGCCAAGUUAUCUUCCGAUAAGAUCACUCUUCGACAUAGACUUUAGUUUCUAAAUGUAUUCUCUACGAAAAAGAUUGCCCUUAUCUACCAAAUCGGCGUACAUCGACCUAACAGAGAAGACACAAGAUGAACAAAACAAAAAAACAAGUGCAAAGAUGGCAUCUCCGUCGUUACUACCGCUUUAAAAACCUAUUUCUAUUAAACAAUAUUAUACAAACACGGUGUAGAUCACCUAAACUAAAUAUCUUCUCAAAAUCUUGUGGUGAUUGCUCAAACCAUAUGCGUGAGAAUUACACCAGCCAGGAUGAGACCGCGCAUGAACCCUACCUCGGCCUCUAGCUAUAGCUAGCGCACUGUGAGGCUUAAGCCUGACCUCACCGUGAUCUUAAUUGGGAUGGAGACCGGGGCCAUAUGACCUCUCACCUGAAUCCCUCCUUUUUUGUGUGUAGUGCUGCUAGAAUCGCUUGUCCUGGCUAGUGUUGCAAUCAAACAAAUUUAUUGUCCUAGUGUACAAGCACUUAUUCAUGGGUCGAUCUCCAAAAGUUGGCAGCACAAAUAAUGCCCAUACUAGGUACGGAGAACACUAUAAUAUCAGUGCACCAAAGAGUGUCGAGGGCCCGGUUGGUUGAAUGAAUCAAUAGAAAUUGCAGGUUGAUGUAGUACUAACUACUAACUAAUAUUCCGUAGACCUUUAAUUUGUGUUAAUCUUCAUUGCACGGGCAGGGACUUGCUUUUGGCUAGAAAUCAGUGGGUUUUAAGCAGUGACCAAUCAUUCAUCUUAGCCACGCAUGCUGAUAGAAGCAGAC